rnacentral:rRNA from 1 species
GACAGAGGGUGCAAACGUUGUUCGGAAUUACUGGGCAUAAAGAGCACGUAGGUGGUUCGCUAAGUCACGUGUGAAAUCCCCCGGCUUAACCGGGGAAUUGCGCGUGAUACUGGCGAACUCGAGGCGGGUAGGGGUGAGCGGAACUCCAGGUGGAGCGGUGAAAUGCGUAGAUAUCUGGAGGAACACCGGUGGCGAAAGCGGCUCACUGGACCCGAUCUGACACUGAGGUGCGAAAGCGUGGGGAGCGAACAGG